AGAGUUUGAUCCUGGCUCAGGAUGAACGCUAGCGGCAGGCUUAAUACACGCAAGUCGAGGGGCAGCAUGACUGUAGCAAUACAGUUGAUGGCGACCGGCAAACGGGUGCGGAACACGUACACAACCUUCCUUUAAGUGGGGGAUAGCCCAGGGAAACUUGGAUUAAUACCCCGUAAUACUAUGAAGUGGCAUCACUUUAUAUUUAUAGCUCCGGCGCUUAAUGAUGGGUGUGCGGCUGAUUAGGUAGUUGGCGGGGUAACGGCCCACCAAGCCUGCGAUCAGUAACUGGUGUGAGAGCACGACCAGUCACACGGGCACUGAGACACGGGCCCGACUCCUACGGGAGGCAGCAGUAAGGAAUAUUGGUCAAUGGACGCAAGUCUGAACCAGCCAUGCCGCGUGGAGGAUGAAGGUCCUCUGGAUUGUAAACUUCUUUUAUUUGGGAAGAAACCCAUAGUUUCUACUGUGGUUGACGGUACCAGAUAAUAACCCCCGUC
rnacentral:rRNA from 1 species